ensembl:lncRNA
GAUUUAGUGUUCAUUAUGUUUUUCCUCGUAUGGGCCGCUCUCUUAUUGGACUUCCUUUGUGGUUCAACUGGGGAUCUUCCCAACCCAGGGAUCGAACCCAGGUCUCCAGCAUUGCUGAGCCACAAGGGAAGCCCUAAUCAUACAUUAUCUGCUCCAUACUUAUCAGUUCAGUUCAGUUCUGGAGGCCUGGUGUGCUGCGGUUCAUGGGGUCACAAAGAGUCAGACACGACUGAGCCACUGAACUGAACUGAACUGAAUCUUUACUUGAAUCAAGCCAGAAUACCAGAGAGAUGCAUAUAUUGAUUGCAUUGUUUUAGACUGGGGUAGAAUCACUUUUACAGAAUUAUUAUUGGUGUGAUGCAGUCUGCUUUUAUUGAGGGCCAUUAAAACAGUUUUAUGAAAUUUAUGAUCUACAAGUGCUCCUCUUGUAGAAUUGUUGUGAGGAUAUUAUCUCCUGUGUCUCAGUGCCCUUGUUGAUAUUGUAACUAUUGCUACUACUGUUAAGGUUAGCUGCUGAUCCAGAGGACUAAGACUGAACACAAACUUAACUGAUAGUUAAUGGACAGAUACUGCUCUUGGCUGAUAGCAAUUGCUUCUCCUUUCCCCAGAGGGAGGCAACUUUAUGGAUAAGGGGUGAUGUCAUGGUUGUGGCCCUGGAGCUAGAUUUACUUGCUUGAAUCCUGGCUUUGCAACUUCCUAGUUGUGUGUUAUUUAGCCUCUUGCUGCCUCAGUGUUCUGAGGCCUCAUCUAUAAAAUGGGGAUAAUAAUUGUACUUAUUUCCACAAGGUGGUUGUGAGAAUUUUGUGACUUUAAGCAUAUGAAAUGCUUAGAACAUGUCUGGCCCAGGACACAUGCAGAGAAAGUAAGGUGCUGUUAUCCGCUCCCCC